GCACGGUCACGACACAAGCCUUCACUCUCUCCCUGCAAGGCGGCGGCGCUGCCAUCUCUCCUUAUCUCCCCGCCACGGCGGGCCGCCGCCAUAUCUCCCCUCAUGGCUACUCCCAGCUGCCUCCCCUCCAUGGCGUGUCAAUCAACCCACACCCUUCUCUCACCGCCGCCUCCCAUCCCCCAUGGCGUCGCUCAUCCCGUCCACUCCCCGCCACGGCGUUGCCAACACAUCUGGCACGGCGAGCAGCGAGAUCCGACCGGGAGGCGCAGAAGGCCUCAUCGUUAUCCGUUCGCAGAAGUCCACAUAGCUGGCCCGUCCGGAUUUGGGCGAGAUGACCUCAGGCACGAGGUGUGGCUCGACGAGUUGGAGGGAUGGCCCCCUGGUCGUCAGGCCCGGUCUUCUACUUCAGCCGAGACGCGCCGUCCAUCUCCAUAGCGGGGACAUCCCAGGCAGCGGCGGAGUAGCCUCCAGGGAAAGCUGGACCGAGCACGAGCACGACAAGUAACUCGAGGCGCUGCAGCGGUGACCGAUGAGUGUCCCCUCCCAAUCCCAUCCCCCCUCUGUAACUAUAAGGGUUUCGUUCUGAUUCAUGUUGGUGACGGGGAAGUACAUUUGCUCUUGCGCAUUUGGUCUGCUAAAUGUGAAGAUUUUUCUGGUUUACAUGCAUUAUCUGCUACCAGUUCGAGCAUAUACACAGUAUGACAUCCUAGCCCAAGAAUCUAGUUCAAGCGAUGCUGUAAUCUUAAAGAAUUGUACUUGGUAUUACAAUAACUGAGUGUCUUACUGAAUUCCUUGAUCGAAUUUGAAAUUUUGGUGUGUCUCAGAAUGAUGCUCCUUCUGAUGGACUGAAUGAUUUUACGGAAUUUAUUCUCAUGUCUGUGCAGUGGGAGUCUUGUACACGAAGAAGUACUACAAAUUGGCCAAGCACCAGUAUUGGAUGCGUCAUAUCUCGGACUGAUCAAACCCAACAGCCUCGUUCGGUUCAGGGGGAUGGUUCAGGACAUGCUCGGGGCGAGUUCUAUGCCGACUCUUUAAAGGAUGUGCUACCUGGAGGACAAAAAAGUUCACAGACUUCUCACCAUUCUCGAUGAUGUACCCAUGUGAUUCACAUCUCUGGGUGCGCCAUCUCUGCCAUUGCGUGCCUGUGCAUAGGCAGAAUUCUUGGAUACUGGAGUCUCCCCCUGGACCUGUCUUUCGCCAGAUGGCAAACUGGUUGACACCUGAAAAAAGAGAUAAAAGGAAGAGGGAUGGGGAUGGUGAUGUCAAUGUAAGCUCUUGGCAUGUUUGUUACAAUAAUGAUUCUCAACAGUUUUGAUGUCCACUAACCAUCAUUGUCAUCUAAUGCAUUGCUUGCUAUAGGUUUCAUUGUCAUCUAAUCAUUCUCAACAGUUUUUUUCACUUUCAUGCAGUAAGAAACCAGUAAGAACCGAACUUAGUUUUCUACCAUUGUGAAGGGCAAAGUUUAGGAAGCAACUUAA